GGGUCAUUAGGUUGGUCGUGCCACCGGUACGUACUGGUCUCACUGAUUCCUCCUUCCUGAAGAACCGUAAUGCCAUUAAUUUGGCGUUGCGGGGAAACAGGACUGUUACUUUGAAAAAAUUAGAGUGUUUAAAGCAAGCUAACGCUUGAAUACAUUAGCAUGGAAUAAUGAAAUAGGACGAUCGAUCCUAUUUUGUUGGUUUCUAGGAUUGACGUA
rnacentral:rRNA from 1 species